UCGCAGAUCAGAAUGCUGCGGUGAAUGCGUUCCCGGGUCUUGUACACACCGCCCGUCACACCACGGGAGUUGGAGACGCCCGAAGCCGAUUAUCUAACCUUUUGGAAGAAGUCGUCGAAGGGGGAAUUAAUAACUGGGGUGAAGUCGUAACAAGGUAGCCGUAUCGGAAGGUGCGGCUGGAUCACCUCCUUUCUAAGGA
rnacentral:rRNA from 1 species